rnacentral:rRNA from 1 species
CCCAUAAGAGGGGGGAUAACAUCCGGAAACGGGUGCUAAUACCGCAUAGUUUUCUUGAUCGCAUGAUCGGGAAAGGAAAGACGGCCUUUGUGCUGUCGCUUAUGGAUGGACCCGCGGCGUAUUAGUUAGUUGGUGAGGUAACGGCUCACCAAGACGAUGAUACGUAGCCGACCUGAGAGGGUGAUCGGCCACAUUGGGACUGAGACACGGCCCAAACUCCUACGGGAGGCAGCAGUAGGGAAUCUUCCGCAAUGGACGAAAGUCUGACGGAGCAACGCCGCGUGAGUGAAGAAAGGUUUUCGGAUCGUAAAACUCUGUUGUCAGAGAAGAACAAGUUGGAGAGUAACUGCUCCAGCCUUGACGGUAUCUGACCAGAAAGCCACGGCUAACUACGUGCCAGCAGCGGC